CGCAGAUUUGCUUUCGAAGGUAACAAGUGAAGGAAACAUGCUGAAACAAAUGUUUUUUGUUCUACUUAUUGCGAUGGUCAUUAUUGGCUCGUUCGCAAUUCCUGCUGAUCCAGUAGACCCCAAAGCCGCCGCCGCCGCAGCAACCCCUCCCGCGGGCGCAGCAGCCCCUCCCGCAGGUUUACCAACUGACAAUUCUGGUCUUGGAUUCUUCAGCCUGGUUACGAAAUCAUUCCAAAAGCUUUUUUAAGUGACGGAAAACAUGCAACGAUCACCAUUCAUCCAGGAACGCGACAUGCUUAAUUACAAAUAAAUAUCUUGAAUUUGA